GGACAGUUGGCGUGUGGUGUAGUGGUAGCUCCUAUUACCAACUUUCAGCUACAUUCAGCAGUCAUUUCUGAGAGAUACCUAGGGAUGCCAUCUCAAGAAGGUUCGGCUUAUACGAUGGCCUCUGUUCUAAAUGAUGUUCAAAAACUGAAAGAGCAUUGUUUUCUACUUGUUCAUGGAACAGCUGAUGCCAACGUACAUUUCCAGCAUAGCGCAGAACUCAUAAGCCGACUGAUUCUAAC